AUGGACACGGGGCUGGAUACAGGGUGGUGGACACACAGGGGUGGUGUGGGGGUGAUUUCUGCCAAGGGGUCGGGGAAGGUCUCUCUGAAAAGGUGACAUAUGAGCGGAGAUAUGUAGCUAUGUGGAGGAAGAGUGUUCAGGCAGAAGGAACAGCAUGUGCAAAGCUGCUGAGCAGGGACAGGGCCUGACAUGUUUGAGAAAGGCUGGGAGGCGGGUGUGACUGGAGCAGACGGAGGGAGAGGGGGAGGGGAGGCAAGGAGGCCUAAGCAGAGAAACUCCUCCCCACCACCAUUGUCCCAUCUUACAGACAGGAAACUGAGCCCAGAGAGGUUAAGCAACUUGCCCGAGGCCAUGCACCUGGUCAGUGGAGGUACCUGGCUGGAUGCCCACUGUGAUGUCAGAGCCACUUAGCACCAUGUGACUAACAUGCUCUGUUGUAAAGCACAAGUGGCACCUUGUAAUCCGUGACCUGGGGUCUCUGAGUGCUAGUGGUUUCCCUUUUAACUGUAAGCCCAUUUGGCAAGGUUGUGUGCUGGGCACCCAGGAGCCGGGCCAUCUUUAAGGACCUUCCUGAGAUCUGGAGUCUGACAGGCCUGGGUUCGAAUCCCUCUUCUAUACUCACUAAUCACUGGGGUUUUCUAGGCCUUGGUUUGCUUCUCUGUAAAAUGGGCCUAAUGCUGCCUACCUCAGUGGCCUGGCAGGAGUGAAUCAGCCCGAGAUCUGGUGGAUACUUAGAAAACAUUUACCACCUUCAGACCCCCUCACCCAGGCCUCUAAAGCUGUGGUCCUCAAACCUCACAGUGUCCUUCCCUGGGAAGAAACAGCCCUCCCCAGAAGUGCUGGGUCUGCAUGCCUGGGGGCUUUAAACGGGAUUCUGAUGGGAGGUGCUGCAGGACCACCACUGCGGUAAGGUUUCUGCAAACCUUGUACAAAUGGGAGAUGUUGGCAUCCCCCACUGUCUCUUCCCAGGGCCCUUGCUGCUUUUCCUUUGUGGCAUCCAUCACACUUGUAAUUACUUGUUUAGCAUCUGUCUGCUUCUCUGGGCUGCGUGUGCUGGCCUUGUUCAUGGCUGGGUCCCCAGCACUGAGCAGCCUGCCUGGGGCGUAAUAAGUGUGUGUUGGGAAAACAAACAAACAGGCGCCUGGCUGGCUGAAUAAAUGCUCGGAUGCUCUUCAGAGCAGCUGGACUCAGUGUCCCCCCACCCCAAGGCCUGGGUUCUGACACAGGCUCUGCGGCCACACACUUCUUGUGUGAUCUUGGGCAAGUCAUCGUGUUCUCUGAGAAAUUACAUUGAUUACUGAGGAGGAGUUGCGUGCAGAGGAUCCCUGAGAGCUCUGGAAGAACUUGUUGGAAGUGGGUUUUUGGAAGAAGAAACUGCAUGAGCAAAGAGACUGGGAAGUCCAAGAGCAUGGAGCUGGCAUCUGGAGAGGGCCCUUGGGCUGCAUCAUCCCAUAGUGGAAGGCAAAAGGGUAAGAGAUUGUGCAAGAGAGAACAAGAGGGAAGGGUGCUGAGCUCAUCCUUUUACCAAGAACCCAAUCCCACGAUAACCAACCCACUCCCAUGAUAAUGGCAUUAAUCAUUCCUUAAAGGUCCUACAUGUCACCACUCUUGCACUGGGGAUUACAUGUCCAAUAUGUGAACUCUGGGGGAUACAUUCAAAACUUAGCAGAGGGGAAGAGGCUCCCAGUGAGUCUUGCUCUUCUCUGAGUCUAGAGCAAACCUACCAAACACAGAAUCAUUGAUGACACAGAGACAAUGGCCCGACUCAUGGCCCUAUCUGCCACUCUAAGCCAUUGGACUCCUGUGAGCCUCACCAGGUUACACAGGGAAGCCCCAACCUGUGACUCACAAGAGCUCACUCCCAAGUCUGCUCUGCCAGAUGCUACGGUGGCUCUGGUUGUCACUAUUAUGUGGACUAUUAUGUCUACUGUGCACCUGCCAGAUAUCCUCUGGGUACAUUGGUGCCAUACCUUCACCCUGUGACUGGGGCGCAGGAGCCCUGGGGAUGCCCCACUCACCCUUCCAGGCAAGAAUGAGUCCUCCCAUUUUACAGAUGAGGUAACAGAGGCUCAGAGAGGCAAAGUGAUGGGCUGUGGGACACACAUCUGGAAAAUGGUACAGUCAGCACAUACACACGCACACAUCUGGCUGUGCUCUGGUUGCCUCUAACAAGCAUUUAUUGAGCCCCUGCUGUAUACCGAGCAUUUGUGAUAUUUGUGAGCAUAGUCAUUACCUACAUCCUCUCAUAGGCUGGAGGCAGCGUAAGAGGAAGGAGAUCCUCCUACAUGGCGUGAUGGGUGCAGCAGCAGCAGCAGGUGACACUCAUGCAAUGUGCCAGGCACACACCCAAGGAUGUCUCAUCACUCCAUGCCACAGCCCUGUGGUCACGUGGUGAACAUAGCUUGGGUGGUGAUGAGCAGCCAGCCUUGGUCCAGCCCCUGUUCUCAAGUGUGGGUGGUCUUGGGUUGACUGGGGUUGGGGGGAGGUUAGGAAACAAGCCCUGUGACCAUUGGACCUUUCUCAGGUAGUGGUGGGCGGUGUGAGCUUUAUGUCUUUGCUCUCAGGACAACACAGAGCAGCUGAUAAUGCUGCUGUUCAUUGACCCUGUGAUGGUACUGUGGUGUAGUUUAUACAAUUGAACCUUCGGAUUUCACUUACUACCUGAGGGUGGGUUUUUAAUGGUCUGUU
rnacentral:lncRNA from 1 species